GCAUUGGAGGUUCAGUGGUAGAAUUCUUACCUUCUAGGUGGGAGGCCAGGGUUAGAUUUCUAGCCAAUGCA
rnacentral:tRNA from 1 species